rnacentral:lncRNA from 1 species
GCUGCUUGUCUAUGCAGAGAAUAAAUGUGCAUGGUGCCCUCCGGACAGGAUUCAUGCUAAGUUGGGACAUGAGUUGCCUUUUGUUUUUCCUAUCUGCCACCUUCCUGUAACGAAGUUGCUAUUAUGGACCUGAGUUUAGUUUUUGCUUGUGAAGAAUACAAACACAGGGGGGUUGUAAUUUUGCUCUAUUGGUCGGUCUGUUGCAUAGAUGAGCUUUUGUGUUUGGUAACGACAGUCUCAUGGUUCGUCCUGCUUCCUGUGUUCUCUGCUGUCUUCUGCAUUCAUCUUGAUCCCUACCCGUUUCUAUCGUGCGUUGCGCCCUCGUCGCAUGCCUGGUGGCAUCUGUACUUGAGGGAUUGCUGGUUGGAAAAGCACCGUGGGAUGUGCUCUUCAUUCCUUUUGGGUUUCUGCUGGUUGUUUUAGGUGGAAGAAUGAGAUGCCUCUUUUAUUUGGUUUCAUUUCAUUUUUGAGUUGCAUUUGGCUGUGUGGUUCUGAUUCCGACAGGCUGAAGUUUUUGAUAGGCAGCGCUGCUGGAAGCACCGUCGCUUCUAGCUUUGGAGAUGUUCCGUGCCUCGUUCCUUCUCACUGGUUCUGUUUUGUUGGGUAAGCCACGUGCCUGUGUGAUUCUGAUUCCAACCCUUGCUGAUGUUGAUCCGUCGCAGAGCGUUGCUUUUAGCUUCGUGCGGUGCAAAAAACUGUUGCCUCGAGAUGUUGAAUCCCUCGUUCGUGUUGCGGUCAUGUAUGUGACAAAGGGUUAUGGAUACCUCCACGGCGACGAAAAAAAGAGAGAGAGAAGCUACCGCGGCGAUGAAAUACAUAUCCAGACACAGCCCACACAGCGAUCGAGGUGAGGUAGGAUCCAUCAUCCAUGGUGCAGAGGCGGCGACGCGAUCGUGGCAAUCAAGAUGCAGUUGCUGCGCUACAGCGACCAGCGACGCCGCCAGUUCGACCGGGGCGACGCUGCGGAAUGCGUUUGGAUGCCCGCCACAUACUGCCACGCGCACGCGUGCAAGAGGUGUUUGGUUUCGAAGGUCUUAUGAUAAGCUCCACCGAUAAAUCUAAUAAUUUUUUAUUCAAACAUGAAAAUUUAUAGAUGAGAUUUAUAUCUAUAAGUGUUGUAAGUCCAUAAGCUCCUCUAAGAGAUAUUUAUAGGUCGCUCUUUCCUCCCACCACCAAAAUAUUCGGAUUAAGGUUAAAAUCCAAGUUAGAUGUUAUAUUAAUCCUAAAUUUAGAUUUUAUAUUUGAAUUGCAACAUUCUAAUAUAAAAGCACACACAAGAUUCGAUUCAAAAUCAAAUAAAAUCCAAAUCACACUAAUAUUUAAAUAAUUCUAACAAAUUAAAUUUAAAUUUUGGAUUUAAUUUAAUUAAUUUGGAAAAUUCAUAAAAGGAUAAUCUUAUAGUGAUCUGGAUGGAGUAAUUACAAACGCGGCACGGAAAAUUUUUGAAACCCAUAUUUUUACAUAAAAUAAUAUUAUAGAAAAAUCUAAGAUAUUACACAGCAGAUCUGAAUCAUAUCUUCUUCAUCCUCCUCUUAAGUCUUCGACUUCAAUCUUGAAAGAAUCGACGUUUUAAGAAAUAUACAUCACCGAAUGCUGCCUCGGAAUAACCACGAAGGAUGCUCCUGACGUGGGGAUUUGGUUCGAAGAAAGCGCACUGCAUGUAGGCAUGGCCAAAGCGUCCCUCGCCAUCCAAGCCACUGUCCACGAAUGAUCCAGGUGCCAUCACUAGAGCACUUGUCGAACAGAUUCCGGAGAGGCUCGGCCAUGAGGGCGCGGGGGAACGUCCCCUCGCCGUGGACCUUCUUGUGUUCAAGCCGGUGGACCGCCUCCAGGCAGACGAUGCAGGCGACGAGAGCAAAGAUUCCUACACGCCAGACACCAACACAACUCCGUAUGAGAGUCAAUCCGAUCGUCAGUCGUAUCCUAGUAAAUCCAUACGCGUAUACUAGAAAAUAUGCUCGCCGUUGCUACGUGAAAUCAUAUAAAAAUAUAAUAUUAUAUACCAUGUGUAUUCUAUAUAAUAAUACGGUACGUGUCAGUUGAGAACUUUAAUCUUAUUCUAUUUUAUAAAAACAUAAGUCAAAAGGCAGCACCUUCUCUUUCAUUAAGAGGAAGAAGAAACAGUAACUACUGCAACACAGAGUCGUGGAUCAGAGGUCCAAAAGCUCUAAAAUGAAGCCCAAGCACAGAGAACAAUUGACGACUGAGAAAUCUACCCGGGGUGGCAGGAAAGGGAGCGAUCGAACUGACGCCGGCAUGACAUCAAGCUUCACUAAUAGGCUUUCAGGAGCAGGCUUAACGGAAAACACUCGCAAGAAAUGCACCCGAGACACCCAUUGACAGCGAGAUCUACCCUGUGAUGCACCUAGAGCAACAAGCUGACCGCACCAUCUUUUUCUUCACCCUUUCGUUCUUGACACGCCUUCUAAACGCCCGUGCAGAACCUCGACAAACCGGUAGCAGAAGAAAAAGGAGAGCAAGCAUCGUGGUGGUGCCGGGCGGGCGCGAAGGCGACGGCCGGCGGCGCCGGCAGGAUUCGGAACCCGCGGCCGUGGCGGCCUGGCCUUUGGAACCUGACGAGCCCCGACGCCGACGUGUUGCAAACUCGGGGUCGUGGCGUGGCGUCGUGCGCGGUGACCAGGUCUGGACCCAUGGGCCGCACCCAUCGGAUGUGGAACCCGUGGGCGCCCGCACCCGUAGCCCAUGGGUCCGGCUGCCAUCCCUAGUCGCUCUCGGCUUUAUAAGGGCGGCCGCUCCUCAGGCCCCCCAUCUAACCAUAUCCGCCGUCUCCUCGUCAUCGCGGCAUCAGAUCCCAUCCUCGUCUUCGCGGCACCCUUCGCCAUGGGUAGUUGCUCUCUCCUGCCCCGGAUCUCCCUGCUGCUCCAUUUACGAUCUAGCCAGGAGGGUUUUGCUGACUUGUUUCCUUCUGCUUUUCGUUUUGCUGGCUGGAUUUGGGGAUGCAGGCAAGAUUAAGAUCGGAAUCAACGGUGAGUUUUUGCGCCGUACUAGUAGUUCGUGCUCGUUUGGUCUGUGUGCGGUUGAAUCUGGACUGAUCUGAGUGGGUUUUUGCUCGUCCACGUCUGUGAUUCGGCUCAGGUUUCGGAAGGAUCGGCAGGCUCGUGGCCCGUGUCGCCCUCCAGAGCGAGGAUGUCGAGCUCGUCGCCGUCAACGACCCCUUCAUCACCACCGACUACAUGGUACGCGCUUUGCUCGUUGCGGUCAGGCCGUGUGUAGAUCUGGUGGUUUAUUUGGGGGGUUUUGUGGUGGGUUCAGCGUCGAUUCGUGGUUAAUCGUUGCUUCCAGAGUUGUUCUGACUCUGAUGCUUUACUUGAGUUCCACGGAUCUGGGGGGAUUUGUUGGGGGUAUGGGUAUGGGCAGCUUGAGAUUUAGUGCUUCGCUCUGAGCUUAGUUUUGUCAUUUGUGGGUAUGCACAGCUUUAGAUUUAGCGGUUCGCUAUGUGUUUAGUCUUGAUAGGGUACUGCGCUGUGAAUUUUGUGUGCUGUGCUCAUGAUUUAUGUGCUUCCCCUGUCCUGUGUAGACCUACAUGUUCAAGUACGACACCGUGCACGGCCACUGGAAGCACAGUGACAUCAAGCUCAAGGACUCCAAGACCCUUCUAUUCGGUGAGAAGCCGGUCACCGUCUUCGGCAUGAGGUAGCCCCCUGUUACUGCUUCAUUCAGAGAUGGGUUAAGCUUUCUGUUCAAGCUGUGAGCUGAUGUUUGAGCUGCCACAAUUUGAAAGGAACCCCGAAGAGAUCCCGUGGGGUGAGGCUGGGGCUGACUAUGUUGUGGAGUCCACCGGUGUCUUCACUGACAAGGAGAAGGCUGCGGCUCACUUGAAGGUAUAAUUGCUGCUUGAUAGUCCUAUGGCUGUUUUAGAAUGUUUGUAGUUCAUUUGUGUAUCAUGUUUAUGUUCUCCCUAUUUUCUGAAUGUAUGCAUUUGUGGCGGAUUGUAUACUUGCAGGGAGGGGGGACAAAUUAACUGAUGGUCCACUUAGUUGGGCUUAACAAUUGGUGUCUUAAAUUUUAGCAGUAAUUUUUCUUAUUUAUUAACUUGGAAUAUGCAUGGCCUGUGCUUAAUGGUAGCUUCUUGGUUCCCAAUGGAGUUGAUCAUUUGCUUCUGACAUGCUUCGUACCAGUUUGUAUAAUGUCUAUUAGUUUUUGUUGUUUUAAGUAUAGAUACUGGGAGACUAUGAAACAAUGUAGUUUAGUGUCAUGAUUACGAUCUAAUACAUGUAGUCUAUACUCGAUCGCUUUACUUCUCAAGAAAUUGCCUGUUUCUGAUAGCUGCAUUUUCCUUUGAAUAAUAGGGUGGUGCCAAGAAGGUUAUUAUCUCUGCUCCAAGCAAAGAUGCACCUAUGUUUGUUGUUGGUGUCAAUGAGGACAAGUACACCUCAGAUAUUAACAUUGUCUCCAAUGCUAGCUGCACCACAAAUUGCCUUGCUCCCCUCGCGAAGGUGUGUUGUUGCAUCUUUUAGCUUCUUUUAGUUGCUUGUGCUCUUCUGGUGUAGAUUGGUUAUUAAUGAUGUCUAUUUCCAUAAACCAGGUCAUCAAUGACAACUUUGGUAUCAUCGAGGGUCUGAUGACAACUGUUCAUGCCAUCACUGGUGAGUUUUGUUUUGCUGUUGAGCAAUAUUUUGUACUAGCAUUAUUGGGAAGGUACUUGUAGUUGGCUGUAAAAUGAUAGCAUGAUACUUCUAUGUCAGCCACCCAGAAGACCGUUGAUGGGCCAUCAGCCAAGGACUGGAGAGGUGGCAGGGCUGCUAGCUUCAACAUCAUUCCCAGCAGCACCGGUGCUGCCAAGGUAUAUGAUAAACUCACAAUGUUGUACUCCCCCUGUCCUGAAAUAUAAGGCAUUUUGGUUUGUCCUAAGUCAAACUGCUCUAAGUUUGACCAAGUUCAUAAAGAGUAAUAAAAUUUUAAAUGUCAAAUGAGAAUAAUUAGAUCCAUUAUGAACUAUAUUUUUAUAAUUUACUCAUUUGCUGUGUUAGAUGUUAAAUAUUUUUCUCUAUAAACUUGGUCAAACUUAGACUACUUACUUUGACUUAGGACAAACCAAAAUGCUUUAUAUUUCAGGACGGAGGGAGUAUGCUGUGAGCUAAUAUUUCCUUGCUUUUUUCUUUAGUGAUUUGUUUGCAAAAAAGCUGAUUUGACCUACUGGUUUGGCUGACAAUUAGUGGUAGAAAUGUGAUAACUUGCUUUACUUUGUUUGGGGGUUUACUUGGUUUUGUAAAUUAAUUUAUAUACUGUGGUCCAAUCUGAGCUGAAAUAACAUAGCUAAAUGAGCAUGCACAUACAUUGGUAUCCGGGCGUUAAAAUGACUGCUGUACAAGUGCUAACUGAUGCCAUGAUACGCAACUUAUGCUCUUUUUAGUUAAAUGGUUUGUUAUUCCACCUCAUUAUUCUGCUUAGUGUGAUAGUAUCCAUUCCAUAUUCUAGUAAAUUUGAUUGAAAUUCUGCAUGCUGACUUUUGUAUUAAUGUGUUGCAGGCUGUCGGUAAGGUUCUUCCUGAAUUGAACGGCAAGCUCACUGGUAUGUCCUUCCGAGUUCCGACAGUGGAUGUCUCUGUUGUUGACCUCACCGUUAGACUUGAGAAGGCUGCCUCGUAUGAGGACAUCAAGAAGGCUAUCAAGUAAGUAGUUUUUCGUUUAUUUUUAAAAUUAAUCUCCAUGAAUAUCAUAAUGUUUUUUGUUGGCAUUAUCCAAUGCUAUGUUUGACAUGGAGUGAGGUUUCUUGGUCCAUGUUCCUUGCGUGGUUCGAGAUCACAAAACAUCAUUGAUUUACUUGCUUUGGUUUUACAGGGCUGCCUCUGAGGGGCCUCUCAAGGGUAUUAUGGGAUACACAGAGGAGGAUUUGGUUUCCACCGACUUCACUGGUGACAGCAGGUAUUGAAUUUUGUUUUGGGUCCUCUUAGGAAUCAGUGGACUAUUAUUACACUUCUAGUGCACACUGCUACGAGGAAGUAUGGUGAUUCUCUGCUGUAUUUCAUCGUCAUUUCAUUCCUUCCACUCAGGUCGAGCAUCUUUGACGCCAAGGCUGGAAUCGCUCUGAACGAGCACUUCGUCAAGCUCGUCUCCUGGUACGACAACGAGUGGGGCUACAGCAACCGCGUCGUCGACCUGAUCCGCCACAUAUUCAAGACCCAGUAGAGCGUUUCGUAGUGAUGGUUCCCAUGGGCUUUCUGGUCGUGGACCAGCCUGCUGCUUGUCUAUGCAGAGAAUAAAUGUGAAAGGCGCCCUCCUUACGCCAGGAUUCAUGCUAAGUUGGGACAUGAGUUGCCUUUUGUUUUUCCUAUCUGCCACCUUCCUGUAACGAAGUUGCUAUUAUGGACCUGAGUUUAGUUUUUGCUUGUGAAGAAUAUAAACAGGGGGGUUGUAAUUUUGCUGUGUUGGUCGGUUUGUUGAAUAGAUGAGUUUUUGUGUUUGGUGAUU